rnacentral:lncRNA from 1 species
AAAAUAACAUUAGUUUAUCUUGGAAAUAUUUUCAGAAAAAUAAAUAUAAGUUGGAUAAAAAAUAAAGUGAAAUGGAAAAAAAAGGGUGAAAAUAAAUAAAAUAAGAGUGAAAGAAAUAAAAAGAGAAAAGAAUGCAUGUGCUGGGGGUUGAACCCCUGACCUUAGGGUCAUGGGGGAUCAACCCCCUCUCCCACUGGGCCAAGCGCCCACUUGUGAUCAUAAACACGCUAAUGAAAUAAAAUAUCAAAGUCAAACAAUAAAAACAAAACGUGUACAGGACAACCAAUCAGGACAUG